UAAUACGGAGGAUCCAAGCGUUAUCCGGAUUUAUUGGGUUUAAAGGGUGCGUAGGCGGCCUAUUAAGUCAGGGGUGAAAGACGGUAGCUUAACUAUCGCAGUGCCUUUGAUACUGAUGGGCUUGAAUGUACUUGAGGUAGGCGGAAUGUGACAAGUAGCGGUGAAAUGCAUAGAUAUGUCACAGAACACCAAUUGCGAAGGCAGCUUACUAAAGUAUGAUUGACGCUGAGGCACGAAAGCGUGGGGAUCAAACAGG
rnacentral:rRNA from 1 species